ACUGAUGGGAGCUUGCUCCCUGAUGUUAGCGGCGGACGGGUGAGUAACACGUGGGCAACCUGCCUGUAAGACUGGGAUAACUCCGGGAAACCGGGGCUAAUACCGGAUAACCCGUUCCACCUCAUGGUGGAGCGGUAAAAGAUGGCCUUUGGCUAUCACUUACAGAUGGGCCCGCGGCGCAUUAGCUAGUUGGUAAGGUAACGGCUUACCAAGGCGACGAUGCGUAGCCGACCUGAGAGGGUGAUCGGCCACACUGGGACUGAGACACGGCCCAGACUCCUACGGGAGGCAGCAGUAGGGAAUCUUCCGCAAUGGACGAAAGUCUGACGGAGCAACGCCGCGUGAGUGAUGAAGGUUUUCGGAUCGUAAAGCUCUGUUGUUAGGGAAGAACAAGUGCCGUUUGAAUAAGGCGGCACCUUGACGGUACCUAACCAGAAAGCCACGGCUAACUACGUGCCAGCAGCCGCGGUAAUACGUAGGUGGCAAGCGUUGUCCGGAAUUAUUGGGCGUAAAGCGCGCGCAGGCGGUCUCUUAAGUCUGAUGUGAAAGCCCACGGCUCAACCGUGGAGGGUCAUUGGAAACUGGGAGACUUGAGUACAGAAGAGGAGAGUGGAAUUCCACGUGUAGCGGUGAAAUGCGUAGAUAUGUGGAGGAACACCAGUGGCGAAGGCGACUCUCUGGUCUGUAACUGACGCUGAGG
rnacentral:rRNA from 1 species